CUCGUAGCGGGUUCGGGGCCGGCCCGCCUGCGGGAGCCCGGCCCGACUCGGGGACCGGGACCGGAGAGUUUGUCUCCGACGUGUGCCGGGCUGCGUGGGCUGAGCUCUACGCGCAGAGAAUGGAGUUUAGGGAAGGAAAGAACAGAAGCAGAGAGACCAGCUGGAGGAGGGGCUACGUCAGAGGUCAAGAGAGGAGAGAGAGCAAGAGAGAGAACAAGCAC